GCCGCUGCGGAUCGACGCUCACCCAUCAUGUAUCUGCAGGUGCUGCUUUUUGCCGUCGUGGGCCAGCUGUCGUCUGCUUCAUCGGAUGGCCUACCGACUACAGUCACCGAAGAUUCUGGCGUGUGCUCGGGUACACCUUUGAGCAGCUUUUCCGCGCACCACAGCCCGUUUUUUCGGGUUUCGGAUGGUUUGCCGCCAAAUCUGGACUUUACGGUGUUCGCCAUCCGGCAACAUGGUGCAACGUCGGCUGACCCACCCCUUCAAAAGCGCGUCGGCUGCAUCGACACUUCGGGCCACGGCACUGCCGCUGCGGAUCGACGCUCACCCAUCAUGUAUCUGCAGGUGCUGCUUUUUGCCGUCGUGGGCCAGCUGUCGUCUGCUUCAUCGGAUGGCCUACCGACUACAGUCACCGAAGAUUCUGGCGUGUGCUCGGGUACACCUUUGAGCAGCUUUUCCGCGCACCACAGCCCGUUUUUUUCGGGUUUCGGAUGGUUUGCCGCCAAAUCUGGACUUUACGGUGUUCGCCAUCCGGCAACAUGGUGCAACGUCGGCUGACCCACCCCUUCAAAAGCGCGUCGGCUGCAUCGACACUUCGGGCCACGGCACUGCCGCUGCGGAUCGACGCUCACCCAUCAUGUAUCUGCAGGUGAACAUAUAGCCAUACAAUCAAGAAAGUCUCAAACUGCCACAGUCGUAAGCCGAGAUGGGUCGGAGCUUUUCUACGUUUCCAGCAAAUGCAAAGUAUUUGAUGAGGACGACAUGCACAGGUUAUGACGCGUGGUUCGAUCUUCUCUGCGACUGUCGAGGAUGGGCGAGUAAGCGACGCUGCUUAAGGAUAAUCAAGAAAGGUGUUGUGUAUACACCAAGUCUGCGCCAUGAACAUGAUGCACGUGAUGACCACCUCCAAUCCUGCAUCAUCUAGCGUUUCUACAAAGUUCAGACGCGCCAAGGCUGACGACAAGCUGUACCCUAUUUUCACGAGACUUCCACUGCGGCGAACCUAAGCUCACGAGCUGUGUCGCGAACGACCUCUUGGGACAAGGCCAAAAACAAGACAAACGCUGUAUAGGCCAGGCCAAGUGCACGACUGCAAAAUAACAAUGUUCACGUUGUGUAGCGUCUCCGGCUGUAAGGCACACGGCGACGCUAGCCGCCAGCACUAUAAGUCGUACUCAUUGUUCCCAGCAAGCGUUUCUGUAUUGAUCAUGAUCGACUGCUGCGCUGGUGGCACGAGUUGCGUGUAGUGCGCCUGUUGAAGGUUAACAAAGCGAGAUAAUCAUUAUCCUAUAAGUUUAGCAUCAGCGCUGAGCUUUGAAAACGUGGAGCACGGCUGAACUUGUAACAGGUAUACUUUAAGAAGAAAAGCAGUUUUUCACUGCCGGACACAGAUUAUUCAUCCCGUGAUACUUUAGAACUUAUGGUUUCUAUUCACACUCUUUAUUUACAAACACCGCCGCUGUCCAGAAGAAAAUGGAAUGGGUAUGUCAUACUCUGCUUAAGGACCAUCUCGCAUGAUUAUUUCGGUCAACAUUUUCUCUUAAGCGGAACACUCCUGGGCUCGCGUUCGCGUGUUUCAAAGCAGCGCUGACAUUCUGACGCAGCAUAGUUGUUUCUUCGAAUCUCGCCCACAAAACGACCGCACGCACUUUGUGACGAGUGACUCACGUGGUCGCCAUCGCCCACAUUCAUUCGCUCAUAAGCUGCAGCCAUCCAAGGCAACAAAACAAUCACGCACGAUGCAUCGUAACACACGAAGGGACCCAGCUUUGACGCAGGUCAUUGUUUUUAGGCUAAUUCACAUUUAUUCAUUCACUUUGAAAUUUCGUAACCCUUGUUGCGGAGUGUCGGUCAUUUAUAUUCGCAACUGUCUCCAGUUUGAAAGAGAGCUCACAGCAAACGGUGGUAGCAGCUGCCUUGAAUGACGACAGAUUGUAUGUGUACAUAAACUGAAAAUCAAAAAACUCUGUUUAAUAAAUUAUUUUACAAGAA